rnacentral:rRNA from 1 species
GGGUUGUGAGGUUAAGCGACUAAGCGUACACGGUGGAUGCCCUGGCAGUCAGAGGCGAUGAAGGACGUGCUAAUCUGCGAAAAGCGUCGGUAAGGUGAUAUGAACCGUUAUAACCGGCGAUGUCCGAAUGGGGAAACCCAGUGUGAUUCGUCACACUAUCGUUAACUGAAUACAUAGGUUAACGAGGCGAACCGGGGGAACUGAAACAUCUAAGUACCCCGAGGAAAAGAAAUCAACCGAGAUUCCCCCAGUAGCGGCGAGCGAACGGGGAGCAGCCCAGAGUCUGAAUCAGCUUGUGUGUUAGUGGAACGGUCUGGAAAGUCCGACGGUACAGGGUGAUAGUCCCGUACACCAAAAUGCACAGGCUGUGAACUCGAAGAGUAGGGCGGGACACGUGGUAUCCUGUCUGAAUAUGGGGGGACCAUCCUCCAAGGCUAAAUACUCCUGACUGACCGAUAGUGAACCAGUACCGUGAGGGAAAGGCGAAAAGAACCCCGGCGAGGGGAGUGAAAAAGAACCUGAAACCGUGUACGUACAAGCAGUGGGAGCACCUUCGGGUGUGACUGCGUACCUUUUGUAUAAUGGGUCAGCGACUUAUAUUCUGUAGCAAGGUUAACCGUAUAGGGGAGCCGCAGGGAAACCGAGUCUUAACUGGGCGUUAAGUUGCAGGGUAUAGACCCGAAACCCGGUGAUCUAGCCAUGGGCAGGUUGAAGGUUGGGUAACACUAACUGGAGGACCGAACCGACUAAUGUUGAAAAAUUAGCGGAUGACUUGUGGCUGGGGGUGAAAGGCCAAUCAAACCGGGAGAUAGCUGGUUCUCCCCGAAAGCUAUUUAGGUAGCGCCUCGUGAACUCAUCUUCGGGGGUAGAGCACUGUUUCGGCUAGGGGGUCAUCCCGACUUACCAACCCGAUGCAAACUACGAAUACCGAAGAAUGUUAUCACGGGAGACACACGGCGGGUGCUAACGUCCGUCGUGAAGAGGGAAACAACCCAGACCGCCAGCUAAGGUCCCAAAGUCAUGGUUAAGUGGGAAACGAUGUGGGAAGGCACAGACAGCCAGGAUGUUGGCUUAGAAGCAGCCAUCAUUUAAAGAAAGCGUAAUAGCUCACUGGUCGAGUCGGCCUGCGCGGAAGAUGUAACGGGGCUAAACCAUGCACCGAAGCUGCGGCAGCGACACUAUGUGUUGUUGGGUAGGGGAGCGUUCUGUAAGCCUGCGAAGGUGACCUGUGAGGGUUGCUGGAGGUAUCAGAAGUGCGAAUGCUGACAUAAGUAACGAUAAAGCGGGUGAAAAGCCCGCUCGCCGGAAGACCAAGGGUUCCUGUCCAACGUUAAUCGGGGCAGGGUGAGUCGACCCCUAAGGCGAGGCCGAAAGGCGUAGUCGAUGGGAAACAGGUUAAUAUUCCUGUACUUGGUGUUACUGCGAAGGGGGGACGGAGAAGGCUAUGUUAGCCGGGCGACGGUUGUCCCGGUUUAAGCAUGUAGGCUGGUUAUCCAGGCAAAUCCGGAUAAUCAAGGCUGAGGUGUGAUGACGAGGCACUACGGUGCUGAAGUAACAAAUGCCCUGCUUCCAGGAAAAGCCUCUAAGCAUCAGGUAACAUCAAAUCGUACCCCAAACCGACACAGGUGGUCAGGUAGAGAAUACCAAGGCGCUUGAGAGAACUCGGGUGAAGGAACUAGGCAAAAUGGUGCCGUAACUUCGGGAGAAGGCACGCUGGUGUGUAGGUGAAGUCCCUGCGGAUGGAGCUGAGACCAGUCGAAGAUACCAGCUGGCUGCAACUGUUUAUUAAAAACACAGCACUGUGCAAACACGAAAGUGGACGUAUACGGUGUGACGCCUGCCCGGUGCCGGAAGGUUAAUUGAUGGGGUUAUCCGUAAGGAGAAGCUCUUGAUCGAAGCCCCGGUAAACGGCGGCCGUAACUAUAACGGUCCUAAGGUAGCGAAAUUCCUUGUCGGGUAAGUUCCGACCUGCACGAAUGGCGUAAUGAUGGCCAGGCUGUCUCCACCCGAGACUCAGUGAAAUUGAACUCGCUGUGAAGAUGCAGUGUACCCGCGGCAAGACGGAAAGACCCCGUGAACCUUUACUAUAGCUUGACACUGAACAUUGAGCCUUGAUGUGUAGGAUAGGUGGGAGGCUUUGAAGCGUGGACGCCAGUCUGCGUGGAGCCAACCUUGAAAUACCACCCUUUAAUGUUUGAUGUUCUAACGUUGGCCCCUUACCGGGGUUGCGGACAGUGUCUGGUGGGUAGUUUGACUGGGGCGGUCUCCUCCCAAAGCGUAACGGAGGAGCACGAAGGUUAGCUAAUCCUGGUCGGACAUCAGGAGGUUAGUGCAAUGGCAUAAGCUAGCUUGACUGCGAGCGUGACGGCGCGAGCAGGUGCGAAAGCAGGUCAUAGUGAUCCGGUGGUUCUGAAUGGAAGGGCCAUCGCUCAACGGAUAAAAGGUACUCCGGGGAUAACAGGCUGAUACCGCCCAAGAGUUCAUAUCGACGGCGGUGUUUGGCACCUCGAUGUCGGCUCAUCACAUCCUGGGGCUGAAGUAGGUCCCAAGGGUAUGGCUGUUCGCCAUUUAAAGUGGUACGCGAGCUGGGUUUAGAACGUCGUGAGACAGUUCGGUCCCUAUCUGCCGUGGGCGCUGGAGAAUUGAGGGGGGCUGCUCCUAGUACGAGAGGACCGGAGUGGACGCAUCACUGGUGUUCGGGUUGUCAUGCCAAUGGCACUGCCCGGUAGCUAAAUGCGGAAGAGAUAAGUGCUGAAAGCAUCUAAGCACGAAACUUGCCCCGAGAUGAGUUCUCCCUGAGACUUUAAGUCUCCUGAAGGAACGUUGAAGACGACGACGUUGAUAGGCCGGGUGUGUAAGCGCAGCGAUGCGUUGAGCUAACCGGUACUAAUGAACCGUGAGGCUUAACCUUACAACGCCGAAG